CAGAGUAGAAAGCCGUGCGUUAAGUGCUGUCGGAACGGGGAGUUGUCGGACAGACGAAGGCAUGAAAAAGCUGCGGUACGGCUUUCGCAUCCCGCUG
rnacentral:ncRNA from 1 species